UUUUUAUGGAGAGUUUGAUCCUGGCUCAGGAUGAACGCUGGCGGCGUGCCUAAUACAUGCAAGUCGAGCGAACAGACGAGGAGCUUGCUCCUCUGACGUUAGCGGCGGACGGGUGAGUAACACGUGGAUAACCUACCUAUAAGACUGGGAUAACUUCGGGAAACCGGAGCUAAUACCGGAUAAUAUAUUGAACCGCAUGGUUCAAUAGUGAAAGACGGUUUUGCUGUCACUUAUAGAUGGAUCCGCGCCGCAUUAGCUAGUUGGUAAGGUAACGGCUUACCAAGGCAACGAUGCGUAGCCGACCUGAGAGGGUGAUCGGCCACACUG
rnacentral:rRNA from 1 species